rnacentral:misc_RNA from 1 species
GAUGAAGAACGUAGCGAAAUGCGAUAAGUAAUGUGAAUUGCAGAAUUCAGUGAAUCAUCGAAUCUUUGAAUGCACCUUGCACCCUUUGGCAUUCCGAAGGGUAUGCUCGUUUGAGUGUCAUUGUACUCUCACACUCCCACUCUUUUGGAUUGGGAGCGGUGGACUUGGGUGUUGCUGCUUCACUGUGGCUCGCCUCAAAUGGAGUAGUGCAACUCUCGGUUGGACAUAGUACGGCGUGAUAAGUGUCUUCACCGGCGCCUCACUAGAGGGUGGCCGAUCGGGAGCUCUGUGCUUCAAACCGUCUUCGGACAAUCUCUGACAACUUGACCUCAAAUCGAGUAGGACUACCCGCUGAACUUAAGCAUAUCAAUAAGCGGAGGA